UACGUAGGGGCCGAGCGUUGUCCGGAGUUACUGGGCGUAAAGCGCGCGCAGGCGGCUGGUCAAGCCCGACGUGAAAGCCCCCGGCUCAACCGGGGAGGGUCGUCGGGGACUGGCCGGCUUGAGGGCGGCAGGGGCUGGUGGAAUUCCCGGUGUAGUGGUGAAAUGCGUAGAUAUCGGGAGGAACACCAGUGGCGAAGGCGACUACCUGGCCUGUUCUUGACGCUGAGGCGCGAAAGCUAGGGGAGCAAACGGG
rnacentral:rRNA from 1 species